UUAUCGGGUGGAAGGACCAUGCCAGGUGGGCAGUUUGACUGGGGCGGUCGCCUCCUAAAGAGUAACGGAGGCGCCCAAAGGUUCCCUCAGAAUGGUCGGAAAUCAUUCGUAGAGUGUAAAGGCACAAGGGAGCUUGACUGCGAGACCUACAAGUCGAGCAGGGACGAAAGUCGGGCUUAGUGAUCCGGUGGUUCCGCAUGGAAGGGCCAUCGCUCAACGGAUAAAAGCUACCCUGGGGAUAACAGGCUUAUCUCCCCCAAGAGUCCACAUCGACGGGGAGGUUUGGCACCUCGAUGUCGGCUCAUCGCAUCCUGGGGCUGAAGUAGGUCCCAAGGGUUGGGCUGUUCGCCCAUUAAAGCGGUACGCGAGCUGGGUUCAGAACGUCGUGAGACAGUUCGGUCCCUAUCUGUCGCGGGCGUAGGAAGUUUGAGGAGAGCUGUCCUUAGUACGAGAGGACCGGGAUGGACGCACCUCUGGUGCACCAGUUGUCACGCCAGUGGCACAGCUGGGUAGCUAUGUGCGGACGGGAUAAGCGCUGAAAGCAUCUAAGCGUGAAGCCCCCUUCAAGAUGAGACUUCCCAUAGCGCAAGCUAGUAAGACCCCUUAUAGACGAUGAGGUUGAUAGGUUCGGUGUGGAAGUGCAGUAAUGCAUGGAGCUGACGAAUACUAAUCGGUCGAGGACUUAUCCACA
rnacentral:rRNA from 1 species